GAUAUGAAAUAGUAUCAUAUGCAGCACUUGCAGAUUUGAUCUUCUAAAGCAUGUGGAACUGCUGGUAGCCUAAAAUUAUGAUGGAGCUCUUAGAGAUUGCAACUUGUAGAACUAUCACAUUGAUGUCGUUAUGAUUUGCUUAUUAGAUUUUUCCAGUGGAAGGCUUUUUCUUUUCUUUCUUUGUUUUUACAAAAUAUUUAGAUAUCUUUAAGAAUUCUUUAGUUAUUUUAUAUGCCUUAAAUAUAUAUCAUGGAACCUAGUUCAGAUCUUGACUGAUAGUAAAACUUAGGAGAAAUUCUCUGGUCUAGUAUUGCUUCAGACCCAAUCCAUAUAUCAGUUCAGCAUUGCUGUGCACAGAUAUUUUAGAAGAACUAAUUCAGUAUUUUAAUGAGCUCUUGGCGCUAUCAAGAAAAAAGAAUUGAAAUAUAAAACCCAUUGACUAUAAGUUUUCAUGUUGAUCCAACACAGGUAAUUUUUGUCCAUGCAACUUUUCUUUUUCAAGGUAUUUGUUGCAUGUGGUUAGUGUCAUUCUAUUGAGUAACGAGAAAGGUCCUCAUGCUAAUUUUGAAAUACAACAUGUUGGAUGCUUAUCUGAACUAGGAGCGGCCAUGCCCGCGGAUCAUCUUUACAAAUACUUUGUCAAAUUUUGACUUUGUCAAGCUGCCUUCAAGCAAGACAUUUAAUUGAACAACCUGCAGUUUGCAGAAGACACAUAAACAAUAAAGAUAAAUAUGUGAUAUUGAAAUAAAGAUAAAAUAGAAAAUAUUGAAGGACACAUACUUUGAUUUUCAGAUUUACAGGAAACAAUGAAUUGACAGAAAAGGAAAAGCAAGUAACAUAGUCUGGGUGCCUAAACGCCAAGUUUAGACUUUAGAAUCUAAGACUCAGGAAGAAAUGGACAGAGAUGGUAUUUCAAGAUACCGAAACAAUGCGCCGGGGUGGGGGAGGGGGUGCGGAAGUAAAGGGAAUGAUAGAAAGAAAAACAAACUGCCUUCUUCUUUUGAAGGAAAAAAAUAAAAAAAAAAUAACUUUUCUCUCAACUAAGUGGAUAACUAAUCCUUCCAGUGUUUCUAAAAGCAGCUUCCGUAUGUGGGCAGUCCAGGUACCAGAUAAUGCAUAAGCGCUGUAUAUGUAGCUACUUAUGCCGAUUGACUGGGACGUAGUUUCACAACCUGGAGAAGUGAGGAGGUGGAAGUCUACUAACCAGGUAAUUGGCCAUUGCUCAUCACUUGGGCACCUUCCUAUUCAGAGGCAAGGCCUAAACCCCUUCAGAAAGAAAUUUUGAAAAUUAAAUAGAUUCAUAAUAACAGUUAGAAAGUAGGAAACUGAAAGUAAAAUCGUAAUAAUUCAGUAGAAAUAAUGAAAAAUAAUGUGAGGGGAAGUGAGGGGGUGGAGGGCUACAUAACCAUGUCAUGGGAUUUUGCUUGCCUCUUGGGAACCUUCCUAUCCAGUUACAUGGCCUAAUUCUAGUCAUGCUGCCAGCAGGCCAUGUUCAUGUGGAGCCACUAAUGCAGCCAUCUCGGAAGCAUUCCAUGUCUGUAUCGGAUACGUAUUGGAUACUGAGCACUUCCUGGAUCUAUUCUAUUUGUAUUAAAUCUGGAGCAAACAAGUUCUAUAAAAUCAUGUGAACAACUUUCCAUCAGUAAGCUCCCUUGGACAAGGUUCCAAUUGCGCCACCUUGGAUUCUGGUAUCGACUUCAAAUCUAACAAAGAAAUUUGUUGGGGACUAGAAAUAUAUGUUUUUAAAUGCAUAUUGCUGCAAUCCACUGUGUACGGUUCUUUUGACUGCUGCUGCAUGCAUUGCUUUUUCUUAAUGAAAAGGAGAGCGGAACAUCCAAUUCAUUGAGGACAUGAGGUAUUGAAAAAGAACAGCAAGAACAGGAAUAGAGGCCAGGAGCUACCUCCCGCCGGAUCAAAAUAAAAUAGAUUACAGCAGUUUGGAUUUUAUCAGAUACCAUUGCGAAAUCCCCCGGGUUGUCUUGAUCAACAAAAAAUUUCCAAUAUAGGUGGUUGAUAGCUAUUUCUUUUACUUCUGGAUUGUAAAUUAACACUUUGUAAAAGUUCUCUUCUAAUAUACUGUAAAAGUUCAUUGUUCCCUAGUAUCAAGGUGGUCAACCAACCUGGAGCCUUUGUAAAUCUAGUAAUUUCAGAUACAUGAAUGCAUGGACUACUUGAAUCUCU